GCCUUCUGAAGUGGGAUGAUGUUGCUCUUUAUGAGCAGAUGCUUGAAGCCUUCUGAUGUGGCUUCGGCACCCUGGACCAAUUUCAGCCAAUCUGUGAUAGAAGGCAAUUUAAACAAAUGGAGACAAGCAAGCCACAGUAAACAUGGUAUAGAUGCAGCUUCUCUUCCAAGUUUGUGAUUUACAGCCAGCACCAGAAGAUACCUAAGGUGAUAAAGUGAGGAAGGUACAGUCUUCAGUAAAAGUGACCCAGGACUCAAGAUGAAAGGUGCUUCUGCUACUUCUUCUCAUAAAUAAAUGUUGAUGCCUGAUUUUGUAAUGUGCUCAGAGAUGGAAAAAAGCCUUUCUCAAACAGAGGACAAAACUUGUCAUGUAGUGUUAGUAGCUGACUAAGCCUCAUCUUCUGGAAAAGGACCACUUGAAAGUACUCACCUCACGCAUACUUCUUGUGGAAAUUAAUGCUAAUUGGUGAACUGUGGCUCUGAAUCUGAGAAAACCUGGGAACAAGUUUAUGAGGUGUGGCCAAUAGUGCAGUGAUUGCAAGUGAAAAGUUCACCAACAAUGUCAUUUCUACCAAAGUGGGGAAAAUUCUUUGUCACAUUUAGAAUGUUGUAAUUUUUAUUUUGGACUGCACAUGAGAUCUCAAUAAAUUACACAGAUUAUAGUUGCAUAAUUGGAGGUUUUGACACAAAAGGGUACUUUAAACUUGAAAAAUAUCUGUAUAUAGAUUUGCUUCUGUUGCAUUUGUGAUUUCAGUUGUAAAUACUGCCAUUAGAGUAAUGCUAAGUUACCAGAAAUGGCAAAGGAACCAGCAGAAGAGGUGAGUAAACAAAGUGAAGGCAGCUACUUGUCCUCAAGAUUUAGGAUCAGCUAAAGAAUUUGGACUUUGAACACUGUCUUGUCAAGUCUGCUAAUAAAUGCAUUUGAAGCUAGAUCAGGUAUCUCUCCAUAUCACUGUGUAGACAUGGCCCUAGAAAUAGGGAAGUCUUAGAAUUUAAA